rnacentral:rRNA from 1 species
UACGUAGGGGGCUAGCGUUGUCCGGAAUCAUUGGGCGUAAAGAGCGCGUAGGCGGCCAGAUAAGUCCGGUGUGAAAGUCAAAGGCUCAACCUUUGAAUGCCGCUGGAAACUGUCUGGCUAGAGUCCGGGAGGGGCGAGUGGAAUUCCUGGUGUAGCGGUGAAAUGCGCAGAUAUCAGGAGGAACACCGGUGGCGAAGGCGCCACUCUGGGCCGAAACUGACGCUGAGGAGCGAAAGCGUGGGUAGCAAACAGG